rnacentral:lncRNA from 1 species
UAUAUAUAUAUAAAGUCCGGUUACUAUACUCUUAUGAGUACGAUCGCCUUCGUACUCAUAAGUUGUUUUCGAUGAUAGAGGUUCCGAAUUGACGAUCCAUACCGUUAAAAGUUAUCUAGAGCAUUUAAUUUAAAACUUCUAGAAAUCAAAUUUUAUAAUUUUUCGAUAUCAUUUACCUUACGAUCAAAAGCUCACAAAAUUGACAAGUUUUAACGGCCGGUAUGGAAUAUUUGUUAGUUUAACGGUGUAAAAGAAUUAGAAUAGGUUGAAUUUUUGAUAGAAAAUUAUAUUCACUACCUAAAUAAAGAUCAAUAACUCCAAUCUUAAAUUAAAGGAUCCAAUCAUCUAUUUUUAGGACGUCGUUCGAUUUUGACCGUUCAUUUUAUGCCCGCUUGAUGGACUUUAUAAUGAUUUUAAAAAAUUAUGAAAUUUAUUUUUAGAAGUUUCAAAUACUCCAGAUCAUGUUUAACGAUGUGGAUCGUCGAUUCGAAAACCCCAACAUUGAAAACAACUUAUGAGUAUGAAAGGCUUUAUACUCAUAAGAGUAUAGUAGCCCUACUCUAUAUGGGUCCGGCUACUAUACUAUUAUGAGUACGAUUUCUCUCGUACUCAUAAAUCGUUUUCGAUGAUAGAGCUUCCGAAGCGACGAUCCAUACCGUUAAACGUUAUUUACAGCAUUUAAAACUUCUAGAAAUUAAAUUUUAUAAUUUUUCGAGAUCAUUUACCUUACGAUCAAGAGGUCACAAAUUUGACAAUUUUUAAUGGCCGGCAUAGGAUACUUGCUAGUUUAACGGUGUAAGAGAAUCGAAAUUGGCUGAAUUUUUGAUAGAAAAUUCUAUUCAUUACAUAGAUAACGAUCAAUAACUCCGAUCUUAAAUUGAAGGCUCUGAUCAUCUAUUUUUAAGACGUCAUUCGAUUUUGACCGUUCAUUUUAUAUCCGCUUGAUAAACUAUAUUAUGAUUUCGAAAAAUUACGAAAUUUAUUUUCUAAAAAUUUCAAAUACUCUAAAUCAUAUUUAACGGAGUGGAUCGUCGAUUCGGAAGCUCGAUCAUUGAAAACAACUUAUGAGUAUAAAUGGCUCUAUACUCAUAAGAGUAUAGUAGGCCUAGCCUAUAUAUAUAUAUAUAUAUAUAGAGAGAGAGAGAGAGAGAGAGAGAGAGAGAGAGUCCAGCUAUGGUUUCCAUCAAGUAUUGCCGACGGUCUCUAGUGCAAGUGGUAAAGUAUUUGCUGGUUGGUAUUCAAUAUCCCAAGUUCAAAGUUUAAUUACUCCACAUUUCCAACUGAAUUUAUUUCUAAAAAAAAAAAAAGAAAAAGAAAUACUAAGUAUUUGGUGCUUGUAAGUUUUUUCCUAUUAAAUCUAACCUUUAACCAUUUCUAAUAAAUAAAAAAAAUUGAUACGCCGUUAUUAACAUAUUUAGGAUAAAAAAGACUAAUUUUGAUUGUUAAAUAUGAAGUUUAGUGUUUAAUUUCCAACUAACUAACCAUACGGCAUUUUAAACUGCACGCAUUAACCAACCAAAAGCCUUCAUAUUUUAGACGGCAUAUUCAUUAGUUAUUUAGAGCAAUGCUAGCGCUACAACAACUUUUUAUAAAAAAAUUUUACAACACUUUACAAAUUAGCAUACAUGGCGGUGUAUAUUUAUUCGGUCGAAAAGCGUAAAUCAUGGGAAAUAAACAUGACUUAAGUUUUCAAGGUUGAAAUUCAAUCGUUAAGUUGUAUAAUUUGUGAAAUGUUGUAAGGUCUACUUGUAAGCAACUGAAGCUCAAAACGGAUUCUCUAAAUCUUUGUUAGGGGUUAGGAUUAAGGCCGUUGGAUAUAGGGUUGUACUUCUACAACCCAUUUUGAGUUACAAACUUAGCAUUUUUCUAUCAAUAAUUUAUAAAAUCAGCAUUCUAGCUAGAGUCUAUGGGCGUGUUUGGUUCGCUUCUUUUUCACCAUGGAAUCAGAAUCGGAAUGGAUGAAUCCGUUUGUGGGUGUUUGGUACGCGGGAGUUCCAUUCCGAUUUCGAUUCCCGAGUGGAAUGGGAAUGCCCCAAUCACCCCUUUUUUCAAUCCGGCCUAGGAGGCCGGAUUGUAAGUUGAAUCCGGACGGAAUGGAUAUUUAUUCGGAUUAAAUUUAUUUUUUCAACUUUUUAAAUUAAAAUAUAAGUUAAAUUUUAAAAAUUAAAUAUAUAAUUUUAAAUUUUAAUUUGAACUUAAAUUAAAAAUUAAAAUUUAAUCAAGUAUUUUAAAUCUAACUUAUGAAUUUGAAUUUAAAUUAAAUUUUAAUUUAUAUGAAGUUUAUUCAAAUUUUAUUUCAAACUUAAAUUAAAUUUAUGGAUUCAAAUUAAAAUUUAAAUUGUAAUUUUAAAUUUGAAUUUGAAUAAAUAAAAUUUUAGUUUCAUAUUUUGAAUUAUCCACUCAACUUCAAAGAUUAAUUUAUUUUAAAAAAAUAGAUUUAAAAAUUUGAUAUUAUUUAAAAAUUUUGAUGUAAAUUUUUAAUAUUUAAUAUUUAAUUUGAAUUUAAAUUAAUAUAUUAUAAAGAUAAUGUUCGUAUAUUAAAUUUGAUUACGGUUUUUUAUAUUCCACCUCGAACCAAACACCAACCAAUGGAAUGAUUUAUUCCGAUUUCCGCAUUCAGGUGAAUGCAAUCAAACGGAAAUUAGGUAAUGAGCCAUUCCGAUUUCGUGAUUCAGCUUAUUUUUGAUUCCGAUUGCCGAUUCUAACUCCGACUUCGAACCAAACACCACCCUUACAUAUAUAUAAUAAUUAGCGCUGGAAUUACUAAUUAAUAGCACAAAAAGAUCGGUGGCUAUUAGCUUUUCUGCCCUUAGAUUGUAAAGAUGUGCUGGUUAAGAUGGAUGUGGGGCCCCUAGGUGUUGAGUGCGGUGGUUAAUUGAAUAGUAUAAUCGACGGUUAAAGAUAUAAAAAAGGUUUAAAUCUAACGGCAGAAAACUUGGAUAGUUACAAUGCUUCGUGCCUAUCGGAUAAUACCUUCAGCACCGGAUCAUAUAUAUAUAGUAUUAUAUAUAUAUAUAUAUAUAUAUAGUAUAUAUAUAAUUAGAGCAAAGUGCUUACUCUGCAGGAGCCACGUGGAGCUGCUCCUGAGCCUGUUUUCAAUGAUGAGUUUCCGAAUCGACGAUCGGCUCGUUAAACUUGUUUAACGUUAUUUUGAGUUUUUCUAGAAAUAAUUUUUGUGAUUUUUCGAUAUCAUUUACCUUGAAGCAAUCGAAAUCAUUCAAAUUUAUAAUUUAAACAUGGCCUGAAAAUAAAAUUUCUAUAAAAAGUGGUAAUAUAGCAACUAAAAUUUUCUGAUCAGAAAUAUUUGAUUUUGUUGUAGCGAUGUAUAAGAAUUAUUUGUAUCAGCAAAUUUCAUCUGAAUUUUGAAUACUUCUUACACCAGGUAACUUGAAAACGGUAGAUAUCAACCAUUGAAAAAUUGAUGAUUUUUGAAUCCUUUCGAUCACUAUGGUAAUAAUGAUAUCAAAAAUCACAAAAAUUAUUUUUUCUUAGAACUUUCAACUGCACUAGAUCAAUCUAAUGGAGCAAUCGUCCGGAUUCGAAAAUUCCUAUCAUCGAAACGGCCUCAGGAUCCAGAGCGAUUCCGUGCCCUGAGAGCAUAGCCAGCACUGCUCUCUCUCUCUCUCUAUCUCUCUCUCUCUCUCUCUCUUCUUUAUAUAUAUAUAUAUAUACUUAAUAUAUAUAUAUGGGAAGGGUCAAAUUUUAUUCGUGGCCCCUAAACUUCAAAAAAUAUCAUAGAUGCCCCUAUAAAUUUGAUUAUAUCACAAUUACUCCUACAAAUACUUAUUAUUUUUCAAAUAUACCCUUACCCUUACCAUUCAUCUCUUUAUAGAAUGAUAAAAUAUUUAGAUUAUCAUAAUAUGGUCAAAAUAUCCAUUUUGCCCUUAACUUCUAAAAUUUUUUACAAAAGUAUUUUAGCAUGAUAUAUUUACUUUAAAAUAUUAAAAUAAACAGUAAAAUAUAUCAUUUUACUGUUGUGUGGUUUAUAAAAUAAGAUACUUUAUAUCAUUUAUUUUAAAAUUCGAGAUGCCAAAGCACAGAAAUUUGUGCUAAUUCAAAUAACUUAAUUCACAUCAUGCAUAUAUAUUUAAGUUAUAUUUUGAAUGAAUUGUUUAAUCUUAUUUUAAGGAGUCAAUUGAUACUUUAAGCAAUUUUUUGCUAAUUUUUUUUCAAUUGAUUUUUUAUUUUUUAGCUUAACUUGUCAGGAUUAUAUAUAUUUUUUUAAUUGACAAAAAACUUAUCUCUAAAUGUAGGUUAUUUAUAAAUUUAAAAGAGUGUUUAUAAAAGUAUAAAUGAUUUUAUUGUCAAUUAAAUAUUUUAAGAUGGUAAUGACAAUAAGGGCAAAGUUGGAAUUUUGUUUGUUGUUUAUUCAAAAUUGAUAAUAAAUUAGUGUAAAGGUUAUUUAUGAUAUUUCAAUUUUUAUAGGGGCAUUCAUGAUAUUAGACUUAUUUGGAAGGGUAGUGAUGAAAUUUUUCCUAUAUAUAUAUAUAUAUAUAGUCCCACUAUGGUAAGUUGAGAAGUAUCACUCAUGUGAUGCUUUUUUUAACUUUUGAAUCGACUUCUUUGAUUAUUUUCUAAUUAAUAUUAUUACCCUAUGGGGAUCACUCAACUCUAGGAGAUCACUAUUAUUUUAACUCUAAAACUCUUGAUCCAACGGUCAAAAAAAUUGGAAGCACUAACUCCUUUAUAUUUCUGAAAGCAUAAUAAUUCUACAACAUGCAUAUAUAUAUAUAUAGAGCUAGACUCAUAUGCCUUCGAAAGUACAGAGGCCUCCGUACUUAUAAAUUAUUUUUGAUGAUGCGAUAUUCGAUUUGGCGAUCGGUUCUAUUAGACAUGAUCUAUGCUAUUGAAACUAUUUAGAAAUCAAAUUUCAUAAUUUUUUGACUUUAUUUGCCUAGUGAACAAGUAGUCUAAAAAUAAAAGGUUGAAAAUAAAAAUUUCAUAAAAAAUAGUGAAAAAAGACUCAAAUUUCAAAUUAGAACUAUUGAUCUUGUUAUUGAUGUUAAAUAUAAUUUUUUAUUAAAGUUUCAUAUAAUUUAGAUUGUUCUACACCGUUAAACUUAAAAACGUGCCACAUAAACCGUUAAAAUAGUCAUUUUGCAAUCUUUUGAUCACUUACUAAAUAAUAUUUAAAAUAAAAAUCUCAUAAAAAACAGUGAUAAAAGACUCAAAUUUCAAAUUAAAAAUAUUGAUCUUGCUAUUGAUGUUAAAUAUAAUUUUUUAUUAAAGUUUCAUAUAAUUUAGAUUGUUCUACACCGUUAAACUUAAAAACGUGCCACAUAAACCGUUAAAAUAGUCAUUUUUUAGACAUUUUAAUCACCUUAGUAAAUGAUGUCAAAAAAUUAUGAAAUUUAAUUUCUACAUAGUUCCAACAGCGUAAAUUAUACUUAACAGAGCCGAUUGCCAAAUCGAAUAUUCUAUUAUCGAAAACAAUUUAUAAGGCUGGUAUAUGCAUGCAAAUGGGACGCUAUAUUUGUCUGAUUUUGUUGACUAAAAUCUUGUGUUUAAUUUCACUCCAAAAGGACAAGAAAAUUUGUAUGUUAGUUUAAUUCCUCUGAUUACAAUCAAUAGUAGAUAAACACCAAAAAAAAACAAUUAAAAGGUUACUGACAUUGAACAAGUAGAUAAUUAAGUAGUAUUCAUAUUGUAGAUUAAUCUUCAAAUAUACAAUAUUUUUACUGUAAUUAUCUGCUCUGUUAAUGUCACUAUCCUGAUAUUACCAACAAAAAUUAUGACAAACGCUCAAGCACGUGUGACACACUCACGCUCCAUGCACACACGCAGGGUUGCGAUGGCUCCGUCCUCAUCGACUCGACCGCGAACAACACCGCCGAGAAAGACGCCAUCCCCAACAACCCGAGCCUCCACGGCUUCGAGGUGAUCGACGCCGCCAAGUCGGUCGUCGAAGCCCAGUGCCCCGAAACCGUCUCCUGCGCCGACAUCCUCGCCUUUGCGGCCCGCGAUAGCAUCACCCUGACCGGCAACGUCACCUACCAGGUGCGACACAAGCAACAACUUAAGUCACUACAACAAAAACGGUAUAUAGCGACACUUUUAAAUGUCGGUAUAGAUCAAUAAAAGUGUUGCUGGCUAAAUUACCGACACUUUUAAAAAGUGUUGCUAUAUGUGGCGUCGCUAGGUUUAUAGUGACACUUUUUAAGAGUGUCGGUAUAACCUAAAAAGAGUGCUACUAAUAUACCGACACUUAUUUAAACUUUUAGCAGCACAUAAAAGUGAUGCAAAAUAAUAUUCUAGCAACACUUUUUUUAAUUUCAGCGACACUUUAUAACUGUCCCAUUUUCUUUAAAUAUUCAAAUUUUUCUUGAUGCAUCACACUUUAAAAUAUAAUACCACUCAAUGAUGAUUAUCAUUAAGCAUAUCUUUAAUUUUAUUCGCUUUGAUUUGCAUUAAAAAAGAAAGCAUAUAAAAGAAAUUUUAUAGUUACACAAAUUAAUACCAAAAUGUCUCGAAGUAUUAUCCAUAUAUCUUUAAACGAGUAUUUAGUCAGUAAAUCACAGUACCAAUAAUCUCUAGCUUUUCAACCCAAGAGAAGGAGAAAUAAAAACAAAAGCUAAUAAUAUCAUAUCAGAUCCGGUCGUAAUGAGCUCGGCAAUUAAGAUGUUGAACCUACAAAUUAAACAAUACUGAAGUUAAUAAAAGAUUAGUCAAACAAUCUUUUAACAUGAAAACCAAUUAAUAUAAAUUUAAUUUUACCUGAAGGGCAAUCCCGACUAAAGAAAAGAGAGAAGCUAUAUGAUGCACAAAUCAGGACCAUCAAAGCAAGUAUGAAACAAGUUCUAUUCUCUGUUUCGACUUUUUUUUCUGAUAAAAGAGAAAGUAGCAUGCACCUUUCACUACUGUGUUGAACAAACAAGGGCCUCUACCAACAGAAACAAUAUGAAUACUCUGUAAUACGGAACUAGAACCUUUGCUCAUAUAUUUUCAUUGAAUUCAAGUAAUUCAACUAAUCCAAUGAAAAGAAAAGGGAUGCUACAACGUCAAAAUACCAACAGAAACAAUAACUAGUAGUUGAAAAGAAAUACAGUAAACAACAACUGCACCUUACUCGAAACCCUAGCACCAGAUACCCCUAAAACUAUAUUUCAUUUUGCUUUUUCGGAUUGGAGCUAAAAGUUUAUCAUAUAUUAAAGCAUUUCCUUUGAGGAAGCAAAAAAGCCCGAAAGAUAAGACCCACUCAGUUAACAAUUGAAACACUUUAUUGCAUACAAUAAGUAAAUAAAUCAUGAAAAGAGAGAACCAUACAUUUCGACUGGUAAAAUUAGAAGUGAUGCCUUUACAUCAUAGAAAGAAGCAACUACUAUUGAUAAUGGAAAGAAGUACUAAAAGAGAAGGAACCAGAAGCAAUUAAGAAAAGCAUAGAAGAGAAUGAUUAUAACGCUAUCAAGUAAGAAAUAAUAAGGGAUUAGACAAAUGAGUAGCAUGUUGCAUAGCAAUAUUUUAUGGCGGUUUUAUAGCUAUAGAAUGUCAAAAAUCGGAGGCUUAAUAACUGUCCAUUCCUGGACAUUGAACUGAGAAAGAUUCUCGAAAAAGUUGUAACCAUCACUUGAAAAUCACAAUCGUAGUUCUAUAAAUAAGUUCCUAAAAUUGGACUAAUACCAAAUUACUCGAAGUACUCUUUUUUGUAGUUUAACAAAAACACUAGCAAAAUCUUGAGAUAGUACAAAGUUCAAAGCAGAAUCCAUGAAAAGCACUUCUAUCUGAAUUGUGCAGCAUAAUUUGCCCAAUUUUAAGAAAAUAUUAUGCGAUCCAUAACCAAACUGAAUUAUAAAUACUAACUAGGAAAAUGCUUUCAAAAUUGUCCACUCCAAAACUUGUCUUGUGAAUGAGCAGUGUUCAACGACCACCAAAAGAAAUAGUAGUGCUGGGCUCCUCCUAUAUUUGAACUAAACUCACCUUGGGAUCUGGUGUCUUAUAAGCAUAGACCGCAUUUUAAGCAUAGACCACAUUUUAAGCAUCACAUCUUUUAAGGUGUUGGAAACUAGAAGACCCACUCACCCACAGACAAGCAGAUGCAAGCUACAAUGUUGAUAUUGAACAGCUUAAAAGCAACAAAAUUAGGUAAAGAUGAACUCUGCAUUUUAAACACUAACAUCCAAUACACAACCAUGACAACUGAUUGCAAAGCAAACAAAGUAUACAGUAAACAAACAUCAUGAUCACUACAUUUAUUCUCGACAAAACAGAAAAGAGUGUACAAUUAUACUUCUCAACACAGUCUUAUUGCAGUUAUAUGAAGGCCAAAUGGACAGACCGCAACACCUGGUUGAGAGCGCUUAUGAAAUUCCAAGCAGCUUCUUGAUGUCUUUCUGCAAGUGGACACAAAAGCGUUUUUAACAGUCUUAUCACUCAGAAGUGAAGCUGAAAACAUUGCGGACUAAACUAAUUUUACCUCGAUGCUCAGUGGGGAGGUGGUUGGGGCAUAGCGGUCAACGACGUCCUUGUCCACCAAAAACUAUAGAUAAUAAGCAGAAUUUAGGCCUUGAAGAACAAAAUAUAAACACUAAUAACUCGUACACUUUGAGAAGAACCAAGUGUCCAACUAAAAUCUUUUACAAGUUCACUUCCAACGGACUAAACAAGGAAACCUACUCUGCUAAAUGUGUCCUGUUAACUUCAUCUGUAUAUUCAAGUUUGUGCGCUAGCGCAAUUAGUGUGAGUCCUACACAGCUGAUGCGACCACUUUUAGCAAUCCAAUCACACAAAAUUGUGAUACUCCUAACAAGGAAAACCUGAACUGUGUUUUAUCUUUGUUACUUUUAUUGGGGACCUUUUUUUCUCUCUUUUUUUCCAUUUUAGAACAUUCAAUGCUUCCAUUAUUAAUUGGCUGUAAAUAACAAGCUUAAAGUAGCUUAGUUUAGCUUUUUUAUAUUAUUUUAAUUUGAAGGUUACUCUGUUUUGCUUAUUCAUAUUGUAUGGAAGUGAACUUUUCUCAUACUUUUGCUGUUUUUUCUUUGUUUUGUUGAACUGUUUCUUAAUUUAUUACUCUCCUCCAAUGUCUCAAGGUGCCAUCUCUUUAUUUCCAGUGUAGAAAAUCAUUGCUUUUUAUUCCUGAUGGGCUGCGAAGUAAUAAAAAUAGGAAAUGGGUGUCAUAAAUCAGAACCCAAAAGUGGCUAAGUUGUACUUUGCCAGAGAAAUGGUUCUUUAUAUAUGCAUUGUAAAAGUAUAGUUUAACCUUGCUUCUUAUUAUUACUCUUAACUUAACUUGGGGUUACCAACUAUUCUUUUAAUAUAUCGUCUCAUACCAUUAUUAAUUUUCAUGUUGUUUCUUUAUUUUCCGGAACUAGAGUGUUAAUUUUUGCCUAUCUAUAUUCCUUUUGUUCGGUUCUAUCAGAUGAAGCUAAACUCUUCAAGGUAAGGAUUAAUAUGAAGUCUAGAUGUGUUUCAAAUUAUUAACAAAAAAAUAUGAUAAGGUUUUUCUCUUUUGUUUGGUGAAAUAUCAAUAGGCCUUAAAGAAGAUAUUUGGUUGACAAGUAUGUCUAUGUAAUCAACUACAACAACACCAGCAAAAAAAUAUUACAACCAAAAUUUUCUGAGAAUUAAUAGAAUCAAUUGAAAAGGAAAGCUUGCAACACACAAACUACACAAGUAACAUUACUAGCUAAAACAAAGGAAGAUCUGAAGCAAGACGAACAUAAUCUGAAAGGUAUGAGCUUCUAUUGUAAUAAGAUUUAGUAAUUUUAGGAAAGGAAACCAGGUCAUUGUCUAUCAUCUACAAGAAACGUCAAAACAUUCUUACUACUAAAAAAAUUCAUUGAUCAGUUAAGUUACAGCACAUCAAGCUUGCUUUCUAAGAUCAUGCUUGGAAAAAUCUGUUAGGAAUGAUGCUUGACUGUUAGGAAUGAUGCUUGGAAAAAUCUACAAACAGGAGACAUCAGAACGCAGUGAUCGUCGCAUAGGAUCAGUAACAUAGGAUUGCUAAUACCACAGGAUCAUCAGAAUACAGUGAUCGUAAAACAGAACACCACAUUGUAGUUAUCAGGGCAUGCUUCUAUGCAAUCUAAUGCAGAAAACAUCAUAAGAUGUCAAAAGAAAAGGUGGUGAUUAAAAAACAGAACAUGGCAUUGUAGUUAGCACUUAGCAGGGGCAUGCUUCUGCAUCAUGAAAUCUAGAAAACUUGUACUUUCAAAUUUCCACACAACCAAAACAUGUACUUCUAUGCGAUUAACAAGGGCUUUUACAGCAAAGAUCCAAGGUACGAUCCAAAAUACAUACCAUAUAUAAAUGGGAUAUAUAUAGGAUAAUCGAUCGAUCGAGCUCACCUUCUUCUCCGUCUACCCCUUCGACGCCUUCGACGCCGCCGCGAGCACCACCAGAUCGCCGGACUCCUGCUUCCCCACCACCGUCGUUGCCUCGACGUUUGGCGCUUACUCCUCCGGCGACGGUCCCCGCGAGAUCCUCGAAACCGAACUCCGGCCGCCGGAGCCCUAGCUUAUCGGUUGCGGCGACGGAGGAGCGGGAGGAGGAGAGCGAGGGGGUUUGAGUGAGGGGAGAAGAGGGUACGACCUAGGAGAAGACGAUUCGUUCGGAUGUGGAGGAGGAGGAGGAGGAGGAGGGGAACGAGGGGAGCGAAGGGGAGGAGGAGGAGAACGAGGGGAGCGAAGGGAGCGAUCAGAUUUGGUUUUUUUUUUUUUUUUUUUUUUGGUAUUUGGGCUUCUACUUGGGCCUUGCUAGGUUUUUUUAAUAAUUUAGGAGUUUUUGAAUCUUAUAAAUUUUGUUUGGAUAAUUGAGCUUUAUCUUUGGGCUUUACUAGUUUUAUUUUUUAAAAUAAAAAUUAUACAUAAAUUGGGACACUUAUACAAAAGUGUCCCAAAAAUGUGUCGCUACAACCCAAUUCUCUUGUAGUGAGUUGACAGAGAACGAUAUACGUCCGAUCAUUUGUUUACACUCGACGUGCGUUCCAGGUCCCUGCGGGACGCCGCGACGGCACCGUCUCGAACGCGUCGGAGGUCAUUCCAAACAUCCCAGCGCCGACCUUCAACUCGACGCAGCUGAUAAACAGUUUCCAGGCGAAAAACCUGACAGCAGAGGAGAUGGUGAUUCUCUCCGGCGCCCACACUGUUGGUGUGUCCCACUGCUCCUCUUUCCUCAACAGGAUCUACAACUUCAGCAACACCAGCCAGGUACGUAUAUAGUGCACACGGCUAUACCUGCAACUACUUAUAUUCUCCCAAUUCGUGGUUACCUCACUACAACAGAAUUAGGUUAUAGGAACACAUGUUUGGGACACUUUUGAGUAAGUGUCCCAUUUAUGCUAAAACUUAAAAAAACAUCUGCUAAUGCCUAAAUAUAAAGCCCAAUCCAACCAAAAAUAAAAGAUUACUCUACUCAACCCACCACACCCAGUCUAUUUGGCCCGAUUACAAACAGCAAAGAAAAAAAAAAGAAAAAUUAAUUGCCAUCUUUUCUUCUUUCUUCACUCAAUCCACUAAAAUUCUAGACGAAGAGCCUUUCCUGUCAUCCUUCUCCGCCACCGCAGCCAACGAGAUAGAGUUUCAGCGGUUGCUAAAUGCUUAAAUAAGUGCUGGUAAAUUAGCAGCACUUUUUUAGGUUACAGCGACACUCUUUAACUGCCACUAUAUACCUAGCGACCCCACAUAUAGCAACACUUUUUAAAAGUGUCGGUAAUUUUAGCUAGCAGCACUUUUUUGACAUGUACCUAUAUUUAAAUGUGUCGCUAUAGACCGUUUUUGUUGUAGUGCCUUCGCUAGUAUAUAUAUUUACGCCGACAAAAAAAAAAAAAGAGAAGAAGAAAAAGUAGGAGACUAAUCGAAUUGUGCGUCAAAUGAUGCGAAAGUACUGUUGUUCUUUAAAAACUAAAGCUACUGACCAAUAAUGUUUUUAAUGUUUGUGUUCAGUAUUAGCUCUUCCUCGCAUCUGAUUAAUUUCGAGAAACGUAAACUUCGAUUAAAUGAGGUGAUAUUGAUAAUAUCUACUCUGGCACCAUGUUAAAUAAGAUGAAACAAUUGUUAUUCUGAGAUGCUUUCAAUAAUUACAAUUAAUAUUGCAAGUAACCACCUGAAAUGUUUUUUUUUUUUAAAUUAAAUUUCAUGUUUUCUUAGAAGAAGAAAGAAUAUAUAAUUCGUGCCGCUAAGUGUGCAACAUUUUUGUUUUUGUUUUUUUUGGGAGAGAAAAGGUAUAUAUAUAGCUAGCUACUUUGUUCAUUCAUUAGAGAAAUGAAUUAAGUGUAUGUAUGUGUACGUGCGUGCAGGUGGACCCGACGAUGAGCCCGGCAUAUGCGAAGCUGCUGCAGGCGCUGUGCCCGUCGAACAGCACGCGGUUCACGCCCAUCACGACGGGGCUGGACGUGAUCAGCCCCGGCGUGCUGGACAACAAGUACUACGUCGGCCUGACGAACUCGCUGAGCCUGCUCACGUCCGACCACGCCCUCCUCACGGACGCCAACCUCAGCGCGGCGGUCAGCCGGUUCGCGACCCACCAGUCGGCGUGGGAGUCGAAAUUCACCAAGGCCAUGGUCAGGAUGGGCGAGAUUCAGGUCCUGACCGGGACCGAGGGACAGAUCAGGCUCAACUGCAGAGUUGUGAACAAUGCCUCCACUACUGCAGCAGCAGCAGCAGCAACUGGGUUUGGGUCUGUGGUGGGCUCUAGCCACUAUACUGCUGGAGGGGUGGCCACUAUCUAGUCUAAGUUAUGAUUGCAUGAAUAAAUUUUAAAAAAAAUUACAUAUAUAAAUAAAUGUAAGUGUGUAGAGAGAGAGAGAGAGAGAGAGAGAGAGAGAGAGAGAGUGUAAUUUGUGGUGUGAGAACUUAUUUUAUAUCUGCAAGCAUGAUAUUGGAGUUUAAUUUGGCUAAUUGCAGGGGUAUUAAUAUUAAGUAAUAUUAAUAUUAAUAUUAAGAUAGAAAUAAACUGGCGAGACACGUAAAUAUUUUGUUAAUGCGCUUUUCACUUAAACUGGAACUCAUUGACCCGACAGAUCGAGCAUGCUUUGGUAAUGUUUAAAUUUUUUUUUUUUUUUUUUUUUUUUUUAUUUAUGUAUGAUGGUUAAUUCAGUAGGACGGAUAACCUUAGAUUAACCUAGUUAACUUUCUCAUCGGUAUGGGUUACUCCGUGCAUCAGUACUGGUUAUUUUGAAACGCUGGCAAGAGUAUCAUCGAAAUGAGAGAAACUCAUAUUUUUCUAAGAAAAUAAUUUCUCUGUACGGUACCUACGGUCCCUAGCGCAAAAUGGUAAAAGACUUGAUGGUUGGUAUCUGCCACUUUCUCUCUUAAAAAAAAAAAAAAAUCCCCCAAUAAUAAACAAUGCCUGGACUUGGUCUAUCAUGUUAUCUCUAGACCAUAGCUAGGAGUGUAAUCUGGGCUGUGCCGCGCCGGCACAACGCAGAUUUUUUCGGCCAAAUCGUCCGGCGCGGAUUUGAAAUCGGACUGAGCCGGGCCUUGCUGGGCCAUGGACCCCUUAUUUAUUUAUUUAUAUUUAAAAAAUCAAAAUUGAUUAUAUUUUAAAUUAAUAUUUGAAAGAAUAAAAAAAGAAACGGGCCGGGCCAGGCCGGGCGGGUCGAUGGGCCAUCCGGCCCGUUUAACACCCCUUAACCAUAGUGAUAUAUCUCUAUAAAUUUUGUUUAUUUAGUAUUUAUAAAAAAUUUUAAACUAUUAAUAAUUUUAUUUAUUAAUAAACGUGACAGAGAGAUUGAAAGUAAAGAUGGAAUGGACGGAAAUUAGAUUGAGGUGUCUGCAGAAAAGUCUAGACAAAUUAUUUUACUCUGGAGGCAUGCAGUAAACAUGCGUGGAAAACCCCCUAAACUAUACACCAUUUUGAAAUAGAUGCAACUUAAUUUAAUUUUAUGUUAACACUUCUUAAUUUUAUAAUAUUUUUUUAUUAAAAAAUUAUUUUAGUAAGAUUGAUUAAAAGUUAUGUAAAAUUUAAUACGUUUCUUAACUAUUCGAAUUCAACUAAUAUAACUAUAAAUUUAUUAAAAUAUCUGUGGUUUUUUUUAUUAAAAUUGCUUAAAUUUUUUUGAAAAAAUUAAAAUUAAGGCCCAGUUUGGUUCAGGGAUAAAACAGGGAUAACGAAAACUUUAUCCCCGCUAUUCCGCCAAACGGGAUGAUUUUGGGCUGGGAUAUUUUAUCCCGGUCAAAUGUUGCUAUUCUCGGCUAUCGUGGAAUAGCUUGGGAUUUAUUAUUCUACCAUUUGGCAGAAUAAUGCUAUUCCAAGGUUUAAUUUCAAAUUUUAUUAAAAUUAUAAAUUAAAUUAAAACUAAUUAUACAGACAUAAUAUGUUAUAUAUUAUAAUAUAUUAUUUUUAUUAUAAAAUUAUUAAUUGUACUACUUAAUUUAUUACUCUAAUAAAUAUUUAAUUAGCUAUUUGAGUAAUUAAUUUAUUAUUUUAAUUAAUUUGCUAAUUAAAUAAUUAUUUAUUUAUUAGUGUACUUAUUCAAUAACCAAUAUUGAUAUUGAUUAAUAAAUUAAUAUUUUGACUAAUUUAAUUAUCUAACUGUUAUUAACUAAUUUUUUUAUUAAUUUAUUAAUUUACUAAAUUACUUGCCAUUAAUUAAAUUAAUAAUUACUAAUUAAUUUAUUAAUUAAUAUUUAGGGUUAUUUAGGGUUAAUUAGUAAAUUAAGUAAGUUGAAUUAUUAUUUAAUUAAUAUUUUAUAUUAAUUAAUUUGAUAAAAUAUUAUUAUAUUAAAAGUAUAAUUAUUCUUAUCCUUACUAUUCCAAUCUAGCCAUCGAAAUACUAUUUUACUUAUUCCCGAGAAAAACUCAAUUUUUAUCCAAACGCAAAAUUAAUUUUAUUCACGUUUAUUUCAAGAGUUGUACUUAUCACAUGGAUAGUCUAAAAUAGUCUAUUCUUGAACCAAACGAUACCUAAGAGAGUAUGCGUGCAAAAGAGGAAAUGGUGAGGGGGUGAUUUCAAAAUGAUCCAUAAUCAAGGGGUCUCCAUACAUUUUUAUUGGUGAAUAAUAGAAAGGUAAAACCAUACAGAACUUACUUGAACUAUGAACCAUUUUAACUAAACUAUCCCAAUCUUUAAAAAUUUUAAUUUAUUUCAUUUGAGUUAGUCAACAGUACCUUAACUAUAAAAAUAAUUAAGCUCAUUACUUAUUUUAAUGAUUUUAUAGUUGCCAAAAUUGCAUAAAAUAUGCUAACUAAAUCUUUAAAAGAUAAAUGGCGCAUUAAAAUUUUGAAGUUAAAGUUCUAUUGUGACUCAAAUGAAACAAAUUAAUCUUUAAUUCAAGUACAGAAGCAAAUGCCAUACAUAGUAAGUUAAUUCAGAUUUAGCAAAAAUUCGGUACAUGUACAAUACGAAUAAAAUUUGUAUCGCAAUUUUUAAAUUCGUGGAAAAAUAUGGCUUAAAAUAAGUGUUCGCCAAUUAUUCAGGUAUGCGAUUUAUGUGGAAAUUAUAUGUUCACCGAUUAAAAUUUCGGGAUCAAAAAUUCGGUUAUUAAAUUAAACAUUUUUCUCUAGAUUUUUACUACUAGGAUAAAUAUAUAGUUAUAACUCUUAAGAAUAAAAAAAAUAGAGAGACACAAAAUAAAGUAGAUUAAGUAAAAAAAAUAAUAGCAAAGUUUAUUGUCGUCUCAAUUUUCAUCUUUUUUAUGAUCACAUAUUCUGAAAAUUCAUGAAAGUUUUCAAUAAUUCGUCAAUAAUUUGCAAAUAAUUAGGCAAUAAUUCCUGAAUUAUAGAGAAAGGGAUUUUAUCCAAAAAUUUCUAUGUGCUUUUUUGGCCGAAUAAUUCGGCAUACGCGAAUUAUUCACGAAUAAUAAAUAUAACUUAAAAAUUCAUAAUUUAUUCCGAUUUUUUGAGAAAAAAAUUACAUAUGAAUUGUUUUAUUCGAAUUUUUAAUAAUUUGCGAAUAAUUCGGUAGUAAUUCGCAAAUUAACUAACUAUGAUGUCAUAUACAUGUGUAUAUGGAUUACUUGAUGUGAUAAGUACGUAAAUAAUUAAAUGAGAGAUAGGUACUCAUACUCUUUGAUCAAGCUAUAAGAGUUAACCUGAAAAUACAUUAACUCACGUAUUAACCUUGCUACGCUAAAGCUCAAACCAAGCACACACUUGAUUGAACAUUUUUCUUGCGGUGUGUAUUAGCCUUUCCAAUAAUCUCUUAACACACAUAUGUUUGUUUACCUUCUUCUACUUAGAUCUUUGUUUAAAGAAGCGCGCUGCGUAACUUACCAAUUAAAAAUAUUUAUAUUGAUUCUUUGAAAUACAAGACAAAUUAAAAAAUCAUAGUGUGCGUAGAAAAAACUGUCACGUGACACUGCACAACGUUGGGAAAAACUUUGAGUUUUUCACCAACACACAAAUCGUACUGUGUGCAUAUUUCGAAGAUAUUAGGUCAGACACAUAGAUGCUAUAAUUUAACGUGGUAUCAGAAUAGAACGUUUUGAGUUCGAGUCAUGUUAGGUUCCUCGGGUUAUUCAAUUUUCUCCCACCUAAUUAAGCCUCCGUCUUGGAUGUGUUAAAAAUCUCCGGUCCUCACAUGAAUAACUUUACAUUAUUUCAUAUAAACAUAUAUAUAUAUAUAUAUAUAUAUAUAUAUAUAUAUAUAUAUAUAUAUAGAGAGAGAGAGAGAGAGAGAGAGAGAGAGAGAGAGAGAGAGAGACCACCUACUAUAUAUUGCAUGCACUCAACUGAUAGCUAGGAAUCACUAGCAUAUAUUCACAUGCAUGUCACACAAAUACAAAUACAUAACUUGCAUAAAACGGGACUAACUAAUAACAUUAACAGUGAUAGUUAAACAUGAAAGCUAGACAUUGACUAUGUCUAGCUAAAACACCCUAACAAAGUCAACCUACAAACAUCUAAAUAAAAGAGCAAUAAAUUGCCUAUAUACUCUUCCCCAGCUUUUGAGGGGUAUAUUUGAAACGGGUAAAUAUGAAACUCAGAAACUCUUCAGAAGUACAUAGGCAAUAUAUAUAUAUUAUACCUAGCUAUAAUAUAAGCUUAGCUCACAAGUAACACCCUAAGUUAUAUUUCAUGGUUUCUUAACACCGCUUUUUUUUGCUUCCCCAGCAGGGAUCACAGGUAAAAAUCCGAUGCCCGGGAACCGUGGAAACGGGAGGAGGCCGACCAUUCCGCCGAAGCCGAAGAAGUUCUGCGGGUGGUAGGAACUGUUGUUGUUGCUGUUGUUGGGUUUGGUUUGGGCUAGGGUUCUUGCUUCAACAAGAGGAACAACAAUGGAAGUGAGGAGGAGAGAAAGGAUUAGGCACAUCUUAGUGAACUUGUCCAUGUUUGUUGCUACAAACUUAUGGAAGGGGUGCACACUACUAUGGUUUUUUCUUUUUCUUUUUCUUUUUCUUUUUCUUUUUUGAUUGCAUGGGUGGUGAGGUUUUGGUGCAUCUACUAUGGAUAUUUAUAGUUGGAGGAAGAGGUGGCUAGCUAGUUGGUUGGUCUCUUUAAGAGAAACCAUUUAAUUAUUUCCCCUCACCACAUUGGAGGUGUAGUAAAAGCAUUUAAUAAGUGCCUAGCUUGGUAAUAGCCGGACAACUUCUCUACUUCGGAAGUAGACGUUAAGAUGUUUACGAGUUAUUAGUUUCUAAAAGCAGAACAACUUCUCUAUUUCGGAAGCAGACGUUAAGAUAUUUGCGAGUUAUUAGUUUGUAAAAACAGAAGCUCUAGUUUUAGAUGAUCAUACUUUUAGGUGCAACAAAAAGUUCUUUUUUUUUAUUUUUUGAGAGAAAGAGAGAAAGAUAGAAUACUAUUUGUUUCGUUUCUUUUUUAACAAAAUGAUCUUAACUGCAAAUAUAAAGAAGUUAGGCUUCAAAUUCGGGACCUCGGAUAUCAACCAUCAAAUUCUUUUAUUACUUGCGCUAAGGACAGUCAUUAGGCGGUUUUACUGAAAUGAUGAUGAUAUUCGAAACCUUGGAUAUCAACCAUCAAAUUCUUUUAUCACUUACGCUAAGAACAGUCAGUAGACAGUUUUAUUGGAAUGAUAGUGAUAUUGAAAUAACAUCUAAACUUAUAAUUAUUGUAGUAAGUUUGAUUAACAUGAUCGGUAUUUACAUGAUAGACUUAAUCAGACUCAACCAAUAUGUUCUUUAAUAACAAUUUCAUCUCUAUAAAUAAUACUUCAGUAGAAGCUCCAAAAUAGUCCUAGCUAGAUUGCCUACUCUGGGUUGGAAGUAGGGGUGUAAACGAGCCGAACACGAGUGAGCUGGGGUCGGCUCGAACGAACAAUAAAUUAAAGAAGAUUAGAUUAAAUAUAUAUAAAAAAUAAAUUUAUAAAAUCUUAUCCAUUAGACUUUAAUGUGAUAGUUGAAAUUUUACAUAUAAAUGAGUCUUUUUAUAAUUAAGCUCGCAUUUAUAUUUUUAUUUUGUUAAAAAUUAAAUAAUAAAAAUAUAUAUAUUAUAUAUAGAUUAUUUAUUAUAUAUAAAAAUAUAAAUUAAAUAAAUUUUUGUAUUUAUUUUAUAAUAAAUAUUAAAAUAAAUUAUUCGAGCUUUAUCGAGGCGAACACGAGCGACUGACUCCUAACUCGUGUUCGGCUCGUUUAUAAACAGCUGAAAAAUCCAGCUCGUGUCAGCUCGUUUACUAAAUGAGCGGCAGAUCUCGAGUUCAUUUCGAGCCGAACAGCGAGCUGGCUUGCGAACAGUGAGCUAAAUUGCCACCCCUAGUUGGCAAGGGCCCAUUUCUGGUCCCUUUGAUUGAUUUUUGCACAUUAUGUUUUCAGACUAGCUGUUGUAUAUUCAAGAUACCAUAUCAUGAGUUAAUUUUUUACUACUUCCUAUAUCCAUUAUAUCUACCAAAAGAUAUAUAUAUAUAUAUAUAAGAGAGAGAGAGAGAGAGAAGAGAGUAUGUCUUCCGUGCUUUUGAAAGUACGGAGGGCCUCCGUGCUUGUAAGUGGUUUCGAUGAUAGACAUCCCGAUUCGACGAUCGCUCCGUUAAGGCAUAAUCUACGCUACUGAAACUAUCUAGAAACCAAAUUUUAUAAUUUUUCGACUUCAUUUACCAAGCGAAUCAAAGGUCUCAAAAUUGAUUAUUAUGAACGGCCGAUGUGGCACUUUUAAGUUCAACGUGUAGAAUAUCCAAAUUACAUGAAACUUUAAUAGAAAAUUCUACUUAGCACAGGAGGCAAGAACAAUACUCCGAUUUGAAAUUUGAGUCUUUUAUCGCUGUUUUUUAUGAGAUUUUUAUUUUUCAGCCGUUUAUUUUAAGCUACUCGUUCAAUCAGGCAAACAAAGUCAAAAAAUUAUGAAAUUUGGUUCCUAGAUAGUUCCAAUAGUGUAGAAUCAUAUUUAACGGAACCGAUCGCCGAAUUGGAAGUCCCAUCAUCGGAAAACAACUACAAGUACGAGGCCUCCGUAUUCGAAAGCAUAGAGCUCAGCCUCUCUCUCUCUCUCUACUCCUAUAUAUAUAUAUAUAGAACUAGCGGAAAUACUACAAUAGUACCAAGGUGUUGGUGCUAUUAGAUUUUCGACCCUUAGAUGAAAAAACGUACGGUAGGAUGAUAUGGCCCCUCUAAGUUUGAGUGAGUUAUUGAUUUAAUAGUAUAAUCUAACAGGUAUAAAAUAGUCAAACCGUUAAAUCUAACAGCAAAAACUAAUAACACCAAACGCUUGGUGCAUCGAUAGUAUAGUAGCCGGACUCAUAUAAUAUUAUAUAUAUAUUUAUAGUAAUAUAUAUAUAUAUAUAGAAUUAGGCUACUAUACUAUCUAUAGUACGGAAGCUUCCGUACUAUAGUGUUGUUUUCGAUCUUAGAGCGUUCAAAUCAACAAUCCACACCGUUAAAUAUGAUCUAGGGUAUAUGAAGUUCUUAGGAAUAAAAUUUUAGUUUUUUUCGAUGUCGUUUACUUAGUAAAUAAAUUAUAUCAAAAUGGACGGUGGGAAUUGAAUACUCUUUAAAAUUUGAGCAUAGGGCUUUUAAAUUCAAGAUCAAGAAUGUUAACCUUAAUCUAUAUAGUUCAAAGUAUUUUCUAUCAAAAUUUGAAGAAAUUUAGAUUCUUCUACACCGUUAAACUCCAAACUCGUCAUAAUAGCCAUUGAAAAUUGUCAAUUUUGAAAUGUUUUGAUCAUAAAGUAAACUAUGUCGAAAAAAUAUAAAAUUUUAUUUCUAAGAACUUUAAAUACCCUAGAUCAGUUUUAACGGUGUGGAUCGUUGAUUUGAACGCCCGAAGAUCGAAAACAACACUAUAGUACGGGAGCUCCCGUACUAUAGAUAGUAUAGUAGCCGGACUCUAUAUAUAUAUAUAUAUAUAUAUGCUACUAAUUAAUAAGUGGACUUAAUUGGGGAGAGGUGAUGAUACACUAUGAAAGGAAGAUGCAGAUUAUCAGUACAUGGCUAUCUGGGAAUAUUAAUGCAUGUUUAAAUUUCUCUGCAUGAGUUUUCAGCUACCACAAGAAGUGAAGCUCUAAAUGCAAUUUUCUUGUGGGUUUCUGGCAUUGCAGUGGGAGAUUAAUGCAGUGCAGAGUGUCAUUGUUCUGUAGUAGAGGAAUUUGUGUCGUGUGUGUAUGUGAGUAGGUUUCAUCUGAAGGAUUACAAGUGAUGGUCAUUAAGGCUAGCAUUUAAUAUGUACAAAGAUGAGAGAAUCAUUGGAUUUCAAGUUCUAUGAGAUAGGAUAAAUUGUUUGGGAUCAACUGUUUGUUUUUAAAACAGCUUAAGCCGCUAGAAAAUGAUAUUUCAGUAUUAUAUAUUUAACACUCUCUCUUCUGUCUGAGCUUUGAGAUAUGUUUGUAAGUUGUAAAUAUGAAUUUAAAUAAAUAUGGAAAAAAAUAAAUAAAACCUUAUGUACUGAUACCAUAUAAAAUAAUGUGAAACAAUUAUUUAUCCUUAAAAGAACUUAAAAAGUUAGUGGAGAAUGAUAUUUUGAUGUUAUAUAAUCUUCAGAUAUUUAAAAGAUAACUAGGCAUAGAUUAGGAGUGCUUUCAUAAGAACAAAGUGCUUUGUGUUUCCAAGUCGAAUUCCACAUGGAACCUCUAAACCAACAACAUGAUCUAUCAUAUUGAAAAUAUCUAGAAAUCAAAUUUUACGAAUUCCUUUUUUUUUUAACAUCAUUUAUCUUUUCAUCAAGUGGUGUCAAAGUGAAUUGUUAAGAUUAAACAACAACUCUGUAUUAUGAAAGAACGAGUUUGCUUAAAACAAUUUAAGAGGAUAUAGGCCAAACUUUAGAAGCAAGAUUAAAUAAUUAACCAGAAAAAUCAUACUAUAAAGACAUAAAGAUGCAAAUUUUUCUGCAUCACCAGAAAGAAAAAAACAAAGAAAUACUCAAAGCAUAUUCUAUUUUUCUCAACCAUAAGAAAAAAAAAAAAAAAAAAAAAAAAAAAAAAAACUCAUAUUCUAUAUUUCGAAAGCAUAAUCGAAUUCAAGGAAUGAGAAGAUACAUAGAUGCACUCAUAAGAUGGCAUUUGAAUUUCGAGUCUCUCGAAUGACCGGCUAACUAAUCACGAAAUGAUGAAGAGAAACAAAAAUUAAAAGACGAAAAUUUGAACAAAUUGUUGAUACUCCGGCAGUUUUACCUUCUCUACUUGCUUUAAAAUACACCAGUGCCACAAGAUAGUUUCACACAGCACCUUUUACAUCCCAUAUACAACAAAUUUCCAUGAAAAAAGAAGGUAGAAUAUCAUAAAAAUUUGAAAAGAGCUAGCAGCAGAUUUUAAGAUAACCAUCUUCAGUUCCGACAAGAAGCAAUCGCGAGAAAGGAAGCACGCUGACGGUCGACAGAAUCGACAGAUUCCUCAUCCCCUUAUCAGCAGAAUAAAGUUUCCGAGGUAUAAGCCGCUGCUCCCCGCCAAUCUGGCAAGGUAAUGAACAAAUCCCAGAAUUAGAAAGAGCAGAUGUUGAAAGGGUGAGAGGAGAGAUGGAUGUUAAAAUCUAAGGUCACUCAGGUUAGCUCGUUGAUUGAUAAGCGACACUCGUAGAGCUAAGAAAUUAGAUAACUUAAAUGAUAAUCAUCCGCCAAUUCAUUUCCACAUACUUUCCACUUGAAAAUUCAAUAAUCAUCCUAAGUUUUUGGACAAACCAAAGUACAGUGCAGGGUAGAAAUUGAAGCAACUGAAAAAUAUAAGGGGGGCAAUCGAGGUGAGUAUGAAAGUGGAGGAGUGGUUCUUGUAAUUUCGACAAAAAAAAAAUAAAGAGAAUUUACAUACUUCAUCUGUUGAUCUGGCGAGGGAAGUCAACGCGAUCUUGUUUCUGGAAACAGAAAUCACGUCCUGGCCCCACACGGAGAAGCUCGAGAUGCCAUCAGAAUGGCCUCGAUAAACAUUUGACGGGGUUGCUACGUUCCUGCCACAUAUGAAUAUAAGUGCAAUAAAAAGUACAAGUAUUUCCUCUUUCCGCUUAUAUUACACAUUCUUCUAAACCAAAUAUAUAAACAUGAUAAUGAAUUGCAGUUUGUUGCGCUAAUAGGCACCCAGAACUUCGCAAGGAAGUUGUUAAUUAUACAUAAUGCAACCAAAAAAUUAGGUUAGUUUGAAAUUUGAUUAUUAUAACAAGAUUAAGACAAGAGUAUGUUUCACGAGGCUGAGGAAGUUCUACCUCACACUUUAAUAGAUAGAAAGAAAUAAGCGUAAUCCAUUUGAAGACAAAUAUGUAGGAAUUUCCAGAUGAUCAUAGCAAAACUAUACCUUCUUAGGUCCCACACUCGCAGAGUUUUGUCAAGUGAACUGGACACCAGCAAAUGAUCCUCUGGAGCAGCCAACUGCGCACAAAAAAUUGUUGUUUGUCAGGAGAAAAGCAAUAUGAACUUCGACGAGUAUCCACAAGGGAACUUUCAAACCCCCCACCCAAAAAAAAAGAAGAAUCCUUGAUUUUUCAAAUUGUGCAGCUUUGAUCCAGUUUUCUUGCACUCGUAAAUGUAGGACCGCAAUCUUCCUUUCUGACUGAAAUACCCGUUGUAGCCGUUUUCAUGAAUAUAUGCAUCAGAUAUUUCAGCCAGGGGCAUUUUGGUCCGUUUUGCACAAAUGAAAGAAGUGAAUGACAGUUGCGAAACUAAAAAAGAAGAUUCUCUUCCUGUCUUGUUUUUUCCUUUUCUUUUUUUCUUUUUUUUUUUGCAUAAUGGUCAAGACAUAUGACCAAAUAAGAUAAAUUCUGGCAACAUACCUUUGUAAUAUAGCCGUCAUGGGCUCGCCAAAGUGCAAUAACAUUCCCACUCCUCAUGUCGAGCAAUCUACAUUGGCCUGAGCUCAGUCCUGCCGCUAUCCAGGAUGAUGAAGCCAGAGAACCCUCUAACCCUAACUUUUUGGACCCACAAGAGCAGAUAGCAGAUACAAGAGAUGAAAACGAAUGCUCAGAUGAGUCAGUCCUCCACAAAUGCAGCUUCUGGUCCCGAACAACAUCAAUGAGCCUGCAUAAUAGCAAAACUCUUAGUUAGGACUUCAAAAUUUUGACUCAUGGAAAAGAGUAAAAUUGUGUGUUUAUCUUCUCUUAAAAAGUUGACAUUAAGCAUAUUUAUCCUUAGUUUUAAAGAUCAAUACGUUUAUCCCCCUAUGUUGACUGAUGACAAUAGAUGACCUCUAAGAUAGCCAUUAUCAGCUAUAUAGGGAUGUAAAUACAUAAUAUUCAAGUUCACAAGGAUAGAUAGGCGAAUGCCCCAGUAGCAACAAUAGCAACAGCUAAGACUGCACCCAUUAGAAGUUACAAUUGUUGAAUAUAAAUAUUAAAAACACCGUUCUCUGACAGCUUAAGCUUUUAGAGAAUAACGGUUGUUUCAUAUAAUUUAGCAUUGUAUUAAAGUGGGAGGUCUUGAGUUCGUCUCGCCAGACUCCUAACGUUAUUACAUUUCGUCCCAUUUAAUUCAAGCUCACGUCUCGGACCUAUCAAAAAGUCACGAGCACAAAUGUAAGGAGUGCUGAAUAUAAAUAUUAAAAGUACUAUUCUGUGGCUGCUUAAGCUUUAGGAGAACAAUGGUUGUUUCAUAUAAUUGAAAGAACAAAUUCAUUGAAGAUCGCAACUCCAACAUGAGGAAUAUCCACAUAAGAGCAUAUUUAUUUAUUUAACAGUUAACCAUAAACCUAACACUAAUUGGAGUAUGAGUGGUGUACGAUCGAUGGCAAACAAAACAGUAGGUUAUAUGUCCAAGGCCAUUUUCUGCAUAAUAAGUUUUAGUUAUUAGUCAUAAUCAUAAACACAAAAGAUGUAAUGUAAGCACAGUAGAAUAAACAACACGAAUUUUCAAUGGCUUAUAAUGAAUGGAUAAGUCAGAAAAUAUUCCAGAAUUGGAAGAUAACAGCGAAUCAAAUUGAAUGACCCCAAUAAAUUGCAGUAUACUCUAGAAAUAGAAAUUUGGUAGCGUCAGCCACAAAAUGGAAAAAUCACAACAAAUUUGGCCAGGAAGAAAUUACCAAAUGAGCCAACAAGUGCAUCUUCAAAUCGCUAAUCCUAUUUAUCAUCAGGACUAAUUUGAACAGCUUGUCAUUAUGGAGCUAAAAUCCAUAGUAUAGUUUGCAAAGAAGCGCUAAACAUUAAUUUAACACAAUAUGUAAUCUAAGACCAUUUUAAGAAAAUCAACUAGAAAUUAAAAAAAUUGCAACAUGUAGAAACAACAUUUAAAAGAGUAUUGAAUCACCUGAGUGAACCAUUUCCUACGCCAGCUACCAGCUUUUCAUCAGAUUCAAGGUAAUGCAUGCAGGUAUACAAACUACCACUGAAUGCAUUAGACAAAAUUCCACCAGAUAAAGCGCUCGGAGUAAGCAUAUUUGUCUGGUCUGCAUUCAUCUUUGCUAUGGUUUGAUGUGGAGAGUUUGUCGAGGACUCUGCAUAGGCUGCUAUAAGCUUCCCAGUUUGUGCACUCCAUACAUGAAUUGUACCAUCACAAGAGGCUAUUCUUCCAGUCGUCGAAAGUAGGCAUAUAGCAUUAACAACCUAUAAAAGAACAUGAUAGUGUGUGGGGAAAAUAUAUAUAUAUAUAUAUAUAUAUAUAUAUAUAUAUAUAUAUAUAUAUAUAUAUAUAAAACCUCAUCAUGCGCAUAAUAACCAUUUGAAAGCCUGAAUUAUAUCAUCAGAGGAAAAGGCAAAGGGCCAACUCACCUCGUCAUGUCCAUAAUAACCAGAUAUGCAGUUCAUCUUAGGCAACUCCCACCUUUGAAUACUCCCUUUGAACCCAGGACCAACUCCACCAGUAAAAACCGUGCACUCAUCAUCGCAAACAACUAUCGAUCUAAGCGCACCAGGGUGAGCCCGGGCAGAGUGAAGCACAGAUGCUUUUAUCUUCCAAGGAAUUUCAUCUUUCAGCCCACCACUCCGUCCAAGAAAGUCAGGGCCAUCCCAACUAGAAUCACAGCUCGGAAACCAAAACCAAGGUUCGUGGUUUUCGAAAUUUGGGGCCAAUAAAUUAGUGGCAAGUGUCAAUUGUUCGAGAUCAUUUUCCUUUGUGGAGUCUGUUAUAGUCAUACCACCUUUAACUCCUUGAGAUUGCGGUAUGGACCAUCCAACCCCAUUAAGCAACAGUUUAGCUGGAUUGUGUUCAGCUGAAGAAUAUGUAACAACCUGAAGCCUUUGAGACUUUGAUGAUUCGCCACUUUUAGAAGUCUCACCAAAAGAUUCCCACUAUAAAAAGCAGCAGAAAAAGGUCAGGCAAAUAAGCUUAUGAAACAUGUAAACAACUAAUAUUAUUUAUUGAAAUAAGCAAACAGAACUAUGCUUCACAUCACAACCGAUGCACUCUUAUAUGGCCCUGCACAAUCAUCAAUUUACAUACACGCCCCCGUAAAUCUGAAUUUUCACACAUACCAAAAAACUUGAGUUGGGGAUUCAGUCUAUUUCAUGAAGGAAUUUGUUUUCAUAUUAGAGAAAGUUUGAAAGAGGGAAUUUUUGUUAGUAGGAUGGUCUACUAUUCAUAAAACAGUAAGUUUCUAAAGGGUAUAUAUGAAUUUGCAGGUUCUGCAGGGGCACAGAACUGAACUUUUAAUUAAAACAAAACAUGUUUACCUUCCAAUUAUAACAUUUUUGAAGCAUUUGCUCCAAAAGAAACCAUGUAGAACAGCAUUGCCGGAUCUUCUCUAUGCCCAGAAGUGAUGCCAGGAAAGGAUACAGAAGUAACCUACAAAAAGAAAGGAAAAAAAAAGAAAAAGAAAGCAGAAUCAUCCCAACUAUGUAUGUCUCAAAGAUAUUGUGCAGGAAAAUUUUAGCAAAUUGCACCUACACGAGGUCCAUUCUGGAUUCAAUCUUAACAUCGUCGUCUAAUUUCAAUUUGGAGAUUUUCAAGCUUCUCCCAGAGGGAGUUGGUCCAAAGGUUAUUUGAGAAAAAGCUAGUUCAGCAAAAAGCUCUUUCAGAUUUGGCAAAAUAUACAUAGAAGUGUAUUCUGGUCCAAUCCUUUGACAAAGACCGACAAGCGCAAUCGCAGCAACCUGGCCAUCAUAGAAGACAACAGGAUAAACAGAUACGUAAGGUGCCUUUUGUGACACUAAUAGGUUUAUUGUGUUCAGAUAUUUGCAUAUAUUAUAAAAGGGACAAUUGCUUAUAUACCCCUGAAAAGUUUCCGAUUUUCCGAUUUACCCCUCUUAGAAGGCUAAUAUUGAAAAUACCCUCUUUACGUUCCAACCUAUUUCUAAUAUACCCCUAGAGUUAAAAUCUGUUAAUUAACUCUGUUAACUCUGUAAAAUUACUAUUUUGCCCUUUCAAAUAUACCCUUCCACCAUCACUGACUUUCUUAUUUGCCCUUAAAGUCGGGGGCACAAAAAGUAUUUUGCCUUUUGGUCUUUUCCAAUAUACCCCUCUACCGUCAUCAAUAUUUUUUAUUUGCCCUUAAGGGCAAAAUUGGCAUUUUAAUUUUUUUUAAUUGUGGUAGAUGUUUAACUUACGUUUAACCAAAGUUAACUAAACAGGAGAUAACUGCGGGGGUAUUUUGCAAUAACAGUGGAACAUAUGAAGGGUAUUUUGGAAAGAAAAAAAAAAGUAGGGGUAAAUCAGAUAUUUUCAAACAUAUGAGGGGUAUAUAGGCAAUUAUCCCUUUAUAAAAAUAUACAAUAAAGUAUAUAUUCAUGCGUUUUCAUAUGAACCCUUUGCAAUCUACUCAACAAAAAAUGCCUUUACAUACAAAGCGUUUUAUGAUGAAAACAAACAUCCUGUCGAGAAUUAAAUAACUCCCAAUUUCAAAUAAGGGUAUUUUGUAGGAAGCUGCACUUUUUAAGUGUAUAUACAAAAAUUCAAAGUUAGAUAUGUGAUGAUGCAUGUAAAAUCCGCUAUUAAAAAUCAAACGCUUGGGAAAGAAGCGAAAGCAAUACCUGCGUCACACGAAGAUCGAACUGAGAUUGCAAGAGAACCUUAACAUGCAGGCAAAUUUGAUCCUGUAAAAGUUGCAAGAGAAUAACAUAUUAACAGCACAUGUAAUGAGAAUCAAAUCAACCAAAUUAACUGGGGAUGAGGAAAACCAACCUGAACUAGCUCUUUAAGAACCACCAUCACAGGAAGGGCAGAAACCAGACCAGCCAAAGCGGAAAAACAGUCGAUUAAAGUUAACGAAUUCCAGCUUUGCUGAGGCUCAGGUUUAUUCAUCUGCGACGCUUCGAUACAGGAGAGAACAACAUUCCUUAAUAAAGGUAGAAGUUGUUUGACGAUAAAUUUUUCUCCAAGAAGAGCACCUAUUUAUCAAAGAGAUCCAUCAAUUAGUAAUUGAUUUAAUAUUAUCGCGACAAAACAAAGAAAAUUUUUGAAAAAAGAUAGAGAACUGGAUUACCUAUUCUAAUCAGAGCAUCAAUUCCGUCAGCGCAAAGGCCUUUGCCAAAAGAAUGGAUUAGUGGCAAGAUUGUCUGAAAAAUAAUUUUGGUGUUAAUAGGAAUGAAUAUCCAAUAUAUAUAUAUAUAUAUAUAUAUAGAGAGAGAGAGAGAGAGAGAGAGAGAGAGAGCUAGGCUGGUAUACUAUCGGUAGCACGGAGGUCUCCGUGCUACCAAGUUGUUUACAAUGAUACAGCUUCCAAAUCGACGAUCGGCUCCGUUAGACUUGAUCUACGCUAUUAAAAGUAUUUAGAAACUAAAUUUCAUAAUUUUUCGACAUCAUUUGGCUAGUGAUCAAAAGGUCUCAAAAUUGACAAUUUUAAUGGUAGAUUUGAUGCGUUUGUGAAUUUAACGGUGUAAACCAAUCCAAAUCCGAUGAAAUUUUUAUAAAAAAUUCUUUUCACUAUUUAGAGUAAUAUCAGUACCUCUGAUCUUAAAUUCAAGUCUUUUAUCAUCAUUUUUUAUGAGAUUUUUAUUUUCAGCCGUUCAUUUUUAGACUACUCAUUUGAUAGGUAAAUGAUGCCGAAAAAUUAUGAAAUUUAGAUUCCAAAUACUUUCAAUAAUGUAGAUUAAGUUUAACGGAGCCGAUCGUCGAUUUGGAAGCCGCAGCAUUGAAAACAACUUGGUAGCACGGAGGCCUCCGUGCUAACGAUAGUAUACCAGCCUAGCUCUAUAUAUAUAUAUAUAUAUAUAUAAUUGAGCUAGAAUACUCUCAAAAGCACCAACUCCUUGGUGCUUUUGAGUUUCUAGCCCUUGGAUCUACUCCUUGAUUACUAAUAACCUUUGAAUCAAACACUAUUCCACCACCACCACCUACCACCAUCAUCUCGACCCUACAUCUCUCCAUCCAAUGGCUAAAAACUCAAAAGCACCACCCCCUUGGUGCUUUUGAGAGUAUUCUAGCUCAACUCUCUCUCUCUCUCUCUCUCUAUAUAUAUAUAUAGAGAGAGAGAGAGAGAAUUAUGCUACUAUACUAUCGAUAGUACCAACUGCUUAGUGCUAUCGAGUUUUUGGCUGUUGGAUAAAAGGAUGUGCGGUUAGGAUUAUAGUGGUUCCCAGUUAGGAUGAUAGUGGUCCCCUGGGGUUGAGUGGGUGAUUGGCUAAAUAGUAUAAUCUAACGGAUGGAAAUGAUCAUAGGGUAGAUCUAACGACAAAAAACUUGAUGGCACCAAGAGAUUGGUACUAUCAAUAGUGUAGUAGCUGGACUCUAUAUAUAUAUAUAUAUAUAUAUAUAUAUAGAGAGAGAGAGAGAGAGAGAGAGAGAGAGAGAGAGAGAGAGAGUCCGGCUGGGGUGCUUCUAAUAGCACCAAGCACUUGGUGGUACCAAGUUUGCCACCAUUAGAUUUACCCCUUUAUCAUUUCCAUCCGUUAGAUCAUGCUAUUCAACCAACCACCCAUUCAACCCAAUAAGACCACUAUUAUCCUAAUCGCACAUCCCCUCAUCCAAAGGCAGAAAACCUACGAGCACCAAUGACUUGAUACUUUUAAAAGCAUUCCAGCCUAAAUCUGUGUGUGUGUGUGUGUGUGUGUGUGUGUGUGUGUGUGUGUAUCCUUGCAGUUUUUUAUUUACAUAUAUCCUUGUAGAUUCUUAUCGCCACUAUCCCCAUGAAUUGGAUGAUUCCCAACUUCAGAUGAUAAUACUUUUGUAAGAAACUGCACUUUUGAGUGGUAUAUAGGCAAAUUCAUAUUCGACAGGGGAAUACACGUGAAUAUAUGAUUUCUUUUUCAGAUUUACAUAUAUAAAAUCUCCAACUCACAUUUUCUAAUGGCACAUGUGAGAAGAACUAUUAUCAAGAAGGUGCUUAAAACUUGCCUGAUGAACUGUAAUGGGAAUGCCAAGCUCUUCACUUGAGCCAAUCAGAACAACAGCAGCAGCAGAAGCAGCUAUCUUGUUAGGCGAAUUGUUUAAAUUUGAAAUGACUAAAGGAUGAACCUUCUCAAGAUAUGUUGGUUUGCCCAAUUUCUUCCAUAAAUCCCUAACAAAGGAAUCUUGGAGGAUAGAGACCUUCAGAUGUGAAUAUUCCGAUGCCUGUAACAAAAACCAUUGCACACAAUUUGUCAAAAUUAAGAUUUAAAUUAUUAAUAAUGUUCUAGAGACCGAUGAAUAAGACAUAAAAAAAGAAAAAGAAAACUACAUGAGAUUUUUCCUACUGAUUUUUUUUCUCAACCGGCCUGUAAGAUCUUCUGAAUGAUGGGCAAGAUCAAUUCUUUUGCUGCUUGGUUCUUCAAACACUUUAAAAAUUCUCUCAGAAGACACAGAGCUGACUCAGAUUCAGCAUCGGAGAGAGGUGAUUUUACAAGAGGUAAGCAGUAAGGGGCGCACAUUUCAGCGGCAAACGAUCCCAUUAAUUUCAAAGCUCCUUCACUAGCGAGCUUAGCAGCAUACUGAAGACGAUACUUGGAUUUAGACGAGAGUUGAAGUGGAGCGAGAAACAUGUAUGCCGAUCGAACUGACGGAGGAAAGUAUUGCGACUCCAAAAGGUAUUUUGCAGAUGGCCUCCUGACAAAGUCGAACAAUCACAAAGAAGACAGAAAAUAAGAUCACAAACAGGAGAGGAAAGUGGAGUACAUUAGAAGGAAAACCAUGAUUUUGGAUAGUCUAGAAAGUCGCAUUAUGAUCAGUCAUACAUUAAUUUUUGUUUGUUUCAAUCUUCAAAUUCCAUCACAAGAAAUUACAGUUUAAGUGGAAGAGCUCAGCCACAUGAGAUUGUUUAUCUUACUAUUGUUCCAAAAUCUUAGUUUAUUGGCUAAGUUGUAGUAAAAUGCCUAAAAAUAUCGCAAUUCCAAUCAACCGCGCUCUUCAAAGCUACAUAUUACCUAGUGAAAUAUCAGGAGGUGGUGGUGGUGGUGGUGGUGGUUUGGGGAGCAUUUUCAUCAUUUUAUCCUCCCUAUUACACCAUCUAUGGAUGAAUUUCAUAAUAAUUUAAAGGAUAACGGGGGACAACAUAAAAAUCGCGAUAUUUUUAAAGGGGGCAACAUGAAAAUCACUAAAUUUCAAAGAACCUUAUUAGUGCCACUACAAAUACCUAUUCCAUUCUCCUUGGAUACAUGCUUCAACAAGAAGUGCAACAGGAGAAGACAAUUCUUGCAGAGCUCCUGGUAAUAUGUCGCUUUCUUUGUAUGCAGCUAGUGAGACAGGAUCAAAAAGCGGCCUCUGGAUAUAGAGCUCGGCCAAUAUGCAUCCAAUAGAAAAUAUAUCAUCAGCGCAAUUUUCAGAAUGCACCCCCAAAGUAGAUGAUUUUUGUCUCCAGUGCAACAAUUCUUGAAAUCCCAUAUAGGUGGUAUCAUCCGCUUCAAAGUUUUCAACAAAGGAGGCAAAAUCGAAUUCAGGUGGAAGCGGUAAAGCACUGUUGGGCUGUUCUAAAAUCUCCAUCCCUGAAUGCAUGCUUUGUGGAUUAUCAAGUGAAGAACAAUUCUCAAUAAUAUCUUCACGGUAAUUGUAGAUUGGAUUUAAAUGGCGCGCAUGUUCAGAAAAUACCAUUGCUGCUUCUAAAUCUUCCAAAUAAUGAGUCUGUGAAAGAUGAUUGUUACUGGUAGCUGAAACCAUGUUUCCAUUUAUGUUUAUAUUAUUUGCUUGUUUUUGGCACUUAAUACAUGAUUUUUUAUUAGUGCAAUAACUGGAGUGAGGAGUGAUACCACGGCGCAUCGGAUGAGCUUUUGUAAAAAGCUGUCGACGGCCAAUAGACUUUGGCCUCAAUGGAUCACUCACGGGCAACAUCACGUUCUUGGCUUCUACAGAAGCCAGGCCGGAAAGCUUAUACCCAAAUGUUAUGUCAAUCCAAUGAUGAAGUUGUCGUGAGACACGUUCACUUUCUAACGCUUCUCGAUGCAGCAAAAUAAACUCUUCUGGAUUUGAAGCCCAUGAUGGAACAGCGAGAUUGAUCAUCUCAGAAUGGCGAGAAAUGAAAAUUCGAGGAUCACUAUAAAAUUCCGGGAUGCACUCGUCUGGGGUCCACUGAUAAAGUCUCUGCAUGCUUGAGGGGUACUCAUUAGGCUCAUACACAGAUCUAACAGCUGAUUUCAAAAUUGCUAAAGGUAGCCUUCUUGCUUUAUAGCUGCAUACUGCUAAUUCAGACAAGCAUUCGUCAGAAACAUGGUGGGGAACUUCAGAUGUUGAAUAAGUGAAGUCCAAUUGUUCGUCGCCUUUUGCCAAUCGCCAUUUGCUUUUCGUGAGGUCUCUCCACCCCAAAUCCGAACGUUCAUCGGGUUUCACAGUAAAGUCUAUAACCCAAGGCAUUACAGUGUGGAAUGUAUGGUCGCCCCACCUUCUACCAGCUAACUUGUUUAACACAAGAAGGUAAUCAUAAUUGCUUAAUUCACCCUCCCACCAUCUCUUAAAAUUAGAAUGAAAGUCUACAGACAUUGACAACUUAGAUUCUGAAUAUAUAGUUCGGCAAGGACAGUCUUCUCUUAAACAGCCUGAGCUUGAGGAAGGACAAUUAGAAUCUUUCAAUCUUGAGUUACUUUUUAAAAGGCGCAUGUCACUAACACUCAGCCAAGGCCAAAGAAAAUUGGUUAAAAGUAUGGUGGAAGGGCUUAUAUUGCCAUGAGAAACACCUAAACCAUGAAGAUAACCCAAAGCAGAAAUUAUCUGGUAGAUAAAAAAUCUAACGUGCCAAUCUGACUGAAAAGCCUUGGGACUGUAGUGAAGGAUAUUUUCCAGAGUAUAAGGAGCCUUCGGAUGCAAUAGAUAGCAAUAAUCUGGUGUUUCCAGAACACCUAAAACAGGGCAGAUAUUGGGAUGUCUCACAAUAUCAGUAGUAGAAGUGCCAUCAAAUGAAGAAAAUCCUACUAAAUUUAAGAAAUUCACACCAUGCCACCCACUCACUUUCCGUUCGGCGAGCAUAUUUAAGGAUGAAAUCACAUGGUCUUCUGUUGAUCCACAUAAGUAUUUCGAAACUAUCUCUCUGAUCGUGAUGCUUGAGGCUUCACCAACAUGAGAAACAGGGGUUAAUGCAGCGAUCAUCCUAACACAUGGUGAUUGUUUGCAAAAGUUGGACAAGGAAUUUCCAUGUUCAAAAUAAAUUAGAUUCACUCUUCCAGACGAGGAAAUAGUUUGCGAGGAAGAUGGAGUGCCAUCGCUCGGACUACCAACAUCAAGUUCUCUUUCACAUUGACCUCGGUCUAAGGAGGAGUUGUUUUCUGUGCCGUGGCAUUCUUUCACAACACCAUUCUCAAAACAUUCCUUCUUACUGCAAAGAGAAAGAAAAUAACAUUGAGCCUGAAUAAUAAAGUCCAUUGCACAUGAAUUAUACCAAAGAUAAGAUUACUCUUUGACACAUUAAAUUCAUAAAGAUGACUUACUUAUCAACAGAUAAUCCCACCAGCACAAAUUGAUCAGAGACCCCUUCGCUACAAAAUAAUACCACAAGCAACAGAUGAAGUAUAGGACCAAAGCCAUAAACAUCAAAAAAAAAAAAAAAUGACAAAGUUAAUAUAUACCUUGGAGCAUUCCCCUCACUCCCAUUCACAUAGAUCUGCAGCCAAAAAAGGAUAUACUAUGAACAAGUAACAAUAGAGAUAUAACAAAGAUACGGAGUACAUGAUAUCCACCCAAGAAAAUUUAAAGAAAAAAAGUACAAGCAUAAAGGGCUAGACAAACGAACUACCUGACGAGGUUUAUUCCACAAGAAAAAAUUACAACCAGAUUUUAAACCGAAAUCUAGGCAAAAUUUAACUAACUGUAGAGACCUAACGAAGCAAAAACUAACUGUGGUGUUUACGAGUUCAAUUUCCGAGUAUAAAGGAGAAUGGCGUAGAACACUGCAAAUUCAAUAGUUCAUAGUGUCGCAACAUAUAUCUACCCAUCACCUAGAGAUAUUAAAAUUCCAAUUCUCAACAUGUUCCGACCAAGGAUUUAAGUGCCGCAGCAUGGGUUCGUGUUGAAAACUUGCGGAUCACAAAAAAAAAAUACAUGUAUGCCAACUCAUAAUGUAUGAAAUUUUUAUUUUCUUUAGCAACAAAAUAUUCUAAUUGCUUAUUAUGUAUCUUUAUCAAAUCUUUUGAAUCUUUUGAACUUUAUUGAAUAAAUUACUUACUAAUUUUUAAAAAAAAAACAUUUUGAGCUGUGCCAUCGACACAAGGGCUAUAUCGUGCUGAUAUCUUGUUGACAUAAUACGAAAACGGUAGAUACAGUCCAUGCCGAUAGGCACUUAAACCCUUGGUUCAGACUCAAAUGAGUGAUGUUUCUAUCAUUUCCUCUUAGCGGCAACUAAUAAUGUAUGUUAUUUACCGUCCAAAACAAGGUUUAAUAGACCAAUUACCCUCUAUUCGGCACCAAAUCAAGACAAAAUUUAAUUAAUAUGAAAAUUCAGGUAAUUCAAGCGAAUUGAAUUUAGAGUUGUAUUCUCUUGAUCGGGAAUGAAUGGAAUUAGUUUGAAUUCCAUCUUUUACACAUGUUGGAUUCAUCGUAUAUGCUUACACUUAUUGAAAUCAUUCUAAAUCAUCGGAAUCAAAUCAAAUCGCAGCCACUAAUGUUUCCAAACAAGCAGUGAUUUAACGAAUUCAAAUUUGCAACUCCAUCAAAACCAGUGAUUUGUAAUUCAAACCACUAUAAACAGGAGUUUGGUGUCAGCUACCGAAUAUUAAUGAAGUUCAGUGAUUGCUAAGAAUGUGAGAUAUAAUAUUCGAAACACCCGUAGCGUGAUUAAACCUUAGCAUAACCGUCAAAAAUUUCUCCUAAAAUUUACCACUAAAAAUACAAUAAAAACAAUUGAUUUUCCAGCAUCAGAAUAGUAGCGGCUUCUCCAAGUAUAGCCCAACUUUUUUUUUUUGAUUUACAAUCCUAAUUUCUGGUUUUUUUCUGUUUUUGAUUCGAAAUUGCACAAAUUUAGUCAAACUGAUUAGCCCUGCUUAAUUUUUAGGGAAUAAAACUGCAGUAAUUAAACGACUAGCUAAUUCGAAAGUUCGCUCAUCUGAAGAUGAAGCAGAUGUUUAAAUUUAGGCCUCAUUUGGUAUAAUUACAGUUCUUUAUUUCUUUUUAAAAUUAGGCUAAAAAUAAAAAAAAAAAUCAGGUUUUUGGCUUUUUGGAUGUAAGGAUUGCAAGGAUUAGAAACAAUAGAAAUUUUAUUUUACAGAAAAGAAAAAAAAAAUAGAAAAAGGGCAACGAUAUCGAUAUCAAACGAGGCCUAGAUGAAGCCAUUAAUUUAGCUUAUGAACUCUCAUUACAUUUUUGCAACAAAAAAAAAGGGGAAAAGGGAAGAAGAGAACCUGGACGACGGCGGAGGAGGCGAGAGGGAGCGGCGAAUCGGAGACGCCGUAGCGAAAGACGGCGCCGCCGGAGAAGUCGGCGCCGAUUCGGCUCUCCAAGCACUCGUAGCACCACAUCACAUCCCCAUCCCCAUCCCCAUCCCCAUCACCAUCGCCACUCCACCCCUCCAAGGAGAGAGAGAGAGAGAGAGAGAGAGAGAGAGAGAGAGGAAACCCCAAAAGAGACUACUGGAGGAGGGAGGUGAGAGAGAGAGAGAGAGGAGGGUUUUAGGGGAAUUUUUUUUAACAAUAAUCCUAGAAAAUUUCUAAUUUGCUAAAUGAUCCUUCUAAAAUUUUAUUUGGAACCUAAUAGGUAUUUAAAUGGGAUUGGAUAUCCGAAUUUUAUCCGAACCUGAACCUUAAUGGAGUGGAUUUAUUUGGUGCUAAAUGGAUAUAAUUUUGGAUAUGAAUAUAAAAAACGAACACCGGAUAGAUUUGGAUUUGGGUAUGAAUUUUGAUUGUACUCGACCAAAACCAAAACCUGAAUUGAUUUUUUAUUUUAUAUAUAUAUAUAUAUAGAAUUAGACUGGAAUACUUCUAAUAGCACCAGAUCAUUAAUGCUAUUAGGUUUUCAGCCCUUGGAUGAAGGGGUAUGCAAUUAGCAUGAUAGUGAUUUCCUAAGGUUGAGUGGUAAUUGGUUGAAUAGUAUGAUCUAACGGAUGAAAGUUGUCAAAGGGAUAAAUCUAACAAUAGAAAAUUUGGUGGCACAAAAUGCUGAGUGCUAUUAGAAACACCCCAGCCAGAAUAUAUAUAUAUAUAUAUAUAUAUAUAUAUAUAUAUAUAUAUAUAUAUAGUCCGGCUGGGAUACUAUCGAUAGCACCAAGGAUUUUAUGCUAUCGAGUUUUUCACUGUUAGAUUUAACCCUUUAAUUAUUUUUAUCCGUUAGAUUAUACUAUCAACCAACCACCUACUCAACCCUAGGGGGCCCACAUCAUCCUAACCGCACAUUUCUCAAUUAUAUAUACAUGUAUAUAUAUAUAGAACUAGGCUGGAAUACUAUCGAUAGCACCAAGUUAUUGGUGCUAUUGAUUUUUUAGUCCUUGGAUUGAGAAAUUGGUGGUUAGGAUGAUGUGGGCCCCCUAGGUUGAGUGAGUGGCUAGUUGAAUAGUAUAAUCUAAUAGGUAAAAAUAAUCAAAGAGGUUAAAUCUAAUGGUGCUAUCGAUAGUACCCCAGCCGGACUCUCUAUAUAUAUAUAUAGAGAGAGAGAGAGAGAGAGAGAGCAUGGCUCUCAGGACGGAGGCCUUCGUGCUCCUGAGCCGUUUUCGAUGAUGGAAUUUCCGAAUUGAUGAUCGGCUCCGUUAGACUUGAUCUAGCGUAUUUGAAGUUUCUAGAAAAUCAUUUUUGCGAUUUUUUGAUAUCAUUUACCUAGUGAUCGAAAUGAUUCAAAACCAAUAAUUUUUAAUGGUUGAUAUCUGCCGUUUUCAAGUUUAACGGUGUAGAAGUAUUCAAAUCAGAUGAAAUUUUGAUAUAAAAUUUUUUAUACUAUCUAUAACAAGAUCAAUAUUUCUGAUCGAAAAUUUUAGUGCUAUAUCACCAUUUUUUAUAGAAUUUUUAUUUUCAGCUGUUAAAAAUUAUUGAUUUUGAAUCCUUUCGAUUGCUAGGCAAAUGAUAUCGAAAAAUCACAAAAAUUAUUUUCUAGAAACUUCAAAUACGCUAGAUCAUGUCUAAUGGAGCUGAUCGUCGAUUCGAAAAUUCUAUGAUAAAAAACGGUGAGGAGCAUGCAUAGGGCCUCCGUGCUCCUGAGAGCACAGCAGUCCUGCUCUCUCUCUCUCUCUCUCUCUCUCUCUCUCUCUCUCUCUCUCUAUAUAUAUAUAUAUAUAUAUAUAUAGGGUCCGGCUACUAUCCUAUUAAUAGGAUUGGGACCCUUGUCCUAUCAAGUCGAUUUGAAUGAUCGGAACUUCAAAUUGAUAAUCGGUACCGUUGAAGUUGAUCUACACAAUUAGAAAUGUUUAGAAACCAAAUUUUGUAAUAUUUAAAAAUCAUUAUCAAGUUCAUCUUAAGAGUUGAAAAAUGAACGGUCAAAAAUGAAUAACCUUCUUAAAAAGAGAUUAGACUUUCUCAGUUCGCAAUCAGAGUUAUCAAACAUUAUCUAAAUAGUAUAAAGAAUUUUCUAUAAAAAAAUCCAAGCAAUUUGGAUUGCUCUACACCAUUAAACAAGCAAACGGCUCAUAUAGGCCGUCAAAAAUUGUCGAUUUUACGACACUUUGAUCACCAUGUAAACCAUUAUCAAAAUUUAUGAAAUUAAGUUUCUAGAUAUUUCAAAUACUGUAGAUCAACUUCAACGGCUCCGAUCAUCGAUUCAGAAUCUCGAUCAUUAAGAACAACUUGAUAGGACAAGUGCUCCUAUCCUAUUAAUAGGAUAGUAGCAUUAGCCUAUACAUACAUAUAUAUAUAUAUAUAUAUAUAUAUAUAUAUAAUGAGCAGGGUUGCUGUGCUCUCAGGAGCACGGAGGCCUCCGUGCUCCUAAGCAGUUUUCGAGGAUGGAGUUUCCGAAUUGACGAUCGGCUCCGUUAAACUUGAUCUAGCNNNNAAGUUGUUUUCGAUGAUAGAGCUUUCGAAUCGACGAUCCAUACUGUUAAACAUUAUGUAGAGUAUUUAAAACUUCUAGAAAUCAAAUUUUAUAAUUUUUCGAUAUCAUUUACCUUACGAUCAAAAGCUCACAAAAUUGACAAUUUUAACGACCGGUAUGAGAUAUUUGCUAGUUUAACGGUGAAAAAGAAUCAGAAUAGGUUGAAUUUUUGAUAGAAAAUUCUAUUCACUACCUAAAUAAAGAUCAAUAACUCCAAUCUUAAAUUGAAGGAUCCGAUCAUCCAUUUUUAAAAUGUCAUUCGAUUUUAACCGUUCAUUUUAUACCCGUUUGAUGGACUUUAUAAUGAUUUUGAAAAAUUACGAAAUUUAUUUUAUAGAAGUUUCAAAUACUCUACAUCACUUUAACGGUGUGGAUGGUCGAUUCGAAAAGCCCAACAUCGAAAACAACUUAUGAGUAUGAAGAACUCUAUACUCGUAAGAGUAUAGUAGCCCUACUAUCUCUAUGUAUAUGUGUGUGUGUGUGUGUGUGUGUGUGUGUGUGUGUUAUAAAUUUGUUUAAAAUUUUAGAUAUAGAUAUGUUUUGAAAAUGUGUUAUAAAUAUGUUUUGAAAAUGCUGUAAAGAGAAAUAAUUGUUUUAAAUUUGUUAUUCAAAUUUUUAAUCAAAAUUUGAAUCUAAAUUUAAAACUUACAAUUUGAAAUUAAAAUUAAAAUUUACAAUUCAUAUUCAAGGUCAAAUUAAAAAUUCAAAUUUAGAACAAUAAAUUUAAAUACAAUAACUUGUUUAAAUUUUAAAUUCAUAUUUUAUAUUCAAA